GGGGAUAUGGUCUAGUGGUAUGACAUCUUCUUAGCAUCGUGCUGCACAGCACUUGUUAAGUGGAGAAGGUUCUGGGUUCGAUUCCCAGUUUCUCCA
rnacentral:tRNA from 1 species